rnacentral:rRNA from 1 species
CAGCAGCCGCGGGAAAACGUAGGGUGCGAGCGUUAAUCGGAAUUACUAGGCGUAAAGCGUGCGCAGGCGGUGAUGUAAGACAGAUGUGAAAUCCCCGGGCUCAACCUGGGAACUGCAUUAGUGACUGCAUCGCUGGAGUGCGGCAGAGGGGGAUGGAAUUCCGCGUGUAGCAGUGAAAUGCGUAGAUAUGCGGAGGAACACCGAUGGCGAAGGCAAUCCCCUGGGCCUGCACUGACGCUCAUGCACGAAAGCGUGGGGAGCAAACAGGAUUAGAUACCCCGGUAGUCCCUGUCUCUUAUAC